CCUACAUGAAGCUGGAAUUGCUAGUAAUCACAGGUCAGCAUACUGUGGUGAAUACGUUCCCGGGCCUUGUACACACCGCCGUCACACCAUGAGAGUUGAGAAUACCCGAAGCCCAUGUCAAAGUGGUCGAAGGUAGGCUUGAUGAUUGGGGUGAAGUCGUAACAAGGUAUC
rnacentral:rRNA from 1 species